rnacentral:sRNA from 1 species
GUAAUCUUGAAAGGGUUAGAUCCAUGAC